ensembl:lncRNA
CUGAGCAGCGCUGCUACCAGGGCCAUGGAGCACGCAAGAAGCUUUCCAAACGCGAGUGCCAGUUUCUUCGCAGUUCUACUCGUAUUGCUUCACUUUGUAUUGCUUUAUGCUAUGAGAGCUCAGACUCCAAGGAAAGAAGCUUCAAAACCGAAAUUUCAUAAAUGUUCUUAAAAUAUUUUGUGGCUUUAAAUAGAUACCUAUGUCCAUAAUAUGGCCAGGUUUGUGGGAAGACACCUUUGAGUUGCAAGGAUCUCUACAAGGAAAAAACAAACAACUGCACACUAAUUUAAGAAGGCAUUUUCCUACCAAUCUUCCACACCGUGGCUACUUAAGUACAAAUGUGAUAACUACCACGAGGGCACCAGGAGGACUGAGGGCUCCUUGGGGGGUAGCAGGGCACAGCCUGGGGCCCAUGAGCCAUCCCAGCACCCAGCCAGGGAGCCCCAACUCCUGGCACAGUGCAGUGGUGGCAGGGCUGAGUCCUCCAUCUUCCGGCCCAGGGCCAAGGGCAGGGUGUGGGACAGCAGGGCUCCUAGUGCCCGCCUGACAGAACCCAUCCACCGCAGGGGCUUUGAGUCAUAGAACCAUUAAGGUUGGAAAAGAUCUCUAGGAUAUUCACGCCCAACCCAUCCCCACCACAUCCGCUGAACCAUGUCCCUCAGUGAGGCAUCUCCGUGGUUCCUGAGUGCACUGUGCACUCCUCAGACACAGCACCUCACUGCACACACACUGCCCUCACCGAGGCACGCUGGCGUAGUUCAUAAAUAUUUCCAACUGAGGAAGCAGAGAACAAUUGCAUCAUUAAGAUUGAAAAGCGCGAUGAAACAGAGGAAAACACUCUGAAUCCCUUAAUGGAAAUGAAGAGGAAAGUGCAGGUGAAACGCCCUGACAGCCACCCUACUGCUGCUCCUGGAGAAGAACAGAGCAGCCGCUUGCUGCAUGGCCUCAACCCUUCAAGGCUGUGUCGGACGGGAUGACAGUGCCCCAGGAAGUCACGAGAGGCAUUCCCAGCAUUGUUCAGCAGUAAGGCAGGAAGCGGCGUUCUGAACGGCAGGAACUGGGAAAGGUUAUCCUGGAUCACUGCGAGCUGCAGCACCAGCUGUUUGUUCAGCCAGAAUGCGACUCGUGUGGUAUUUUUCACCCUGCUUCAAUAAAUGCAGCAGCUGCCAUGCAGCCCAG